rnacentral:rRNA from 1 species
AACGAACGUUGGCGGCGUGGAUUAGGCAUGCAAGUCGAACGAAUCCCAGUGGGGGUAACUCUGCUGGGGGAAGUGGCGAAAGGGGCAGUAAUGCGUGGAUAACCUACCCUUGGGACGGGGAUAGCCCUCCUAACGGAGGGGUAAUACUCGGCGACGUGGCGAGGGGGCAUCUCCUUGCCACCAAAUGAAUUUCGCCCGAGGAGGGGUUCACGUGCUAUUAGCUUGUUGGCGGGGUAACGGCCCACCAAGGCUAAGAUGGCUAGCGGGUGUGAGAGCACGACCCGAGCCACGGGCACUGCGACACUGGCCAGACUCCUACGGGAGGCUGCAGUCGAGGAUCUUCGGCAAUGGGCGCAAGCCUGACCGAGCGACGCCGCGUGUGCGAUGAAGGCCUUCGGGUUGUAAAGCACUGUCGAGGGGGACCAAGGCCCGAAAGGGCUUGAGAGAUCCCUGGAGGAAGCACGGGCUAAGUUCGUGCCAGCAGCCGCAGUAAAAC